rnacentral:rRNA from 11 species
UGUAGUAGACCUAAAUACCCAAAAGACACCAGAUCCUGUCAGAUCUUGGAAGCUAAGAAGCAUCAACCCUGGUUAAUGUUUAAAUGGGAGACCACCAACAAACACUAGGUGCUAUUGGCU